UACGUAGGCAGCGAGCGUUGUUCGGAGUUACUGGGCGUAAAGAGUGCGUAGGCGGUGCUCCAAGUCUGGUGUGAAAUCUCCCGGCUUAACCGGGAGGGUGCGCCGGAAACUGGGGUGCUGGAGUGUGGGAGAGGUAAGCGGAAUUCCCGGUGUAGCGGUGAAAUGCGUAGAUAUUCGGAAGAACACCAGUGGCGAAGGCGACUUACUGGACACAUAUUGACGCUGAGGUGCGAAAGCGUGGGGAGCAAACAGG
rnacentral:rRNA from 1 species